rnacentral:rRNA from 1 species
GAUGAACGCUGGCGGCAUGCCUAAUACAUGCAAGUCGAGCGAAUGGAUUAAGAGCUUGCUCUUAUGAAGUUAGCGGCGGACGGGCGAGUAACACGUGGGUAACCUGCCCAUAAGACUGGGAUAACUCCGGGAAACCGGGGCUAAUACCGGAUAACAUUUUGAACCGCAUGGUUCGAAAUUGAAAGGCGGCUUCGGCUGUCACUUAUGGAUGGACCCGCGUCGCAUUAGCUAGUUGGUGAGGUAACGGCUCACCAAGGCAACGAUGCGUAGCCGACCUGAGAGGGUGAUCGGCCACACUGGGACUGAGACACGGCCCAGACUCCUACGGGAGGCAGCAGUAGGGAAUCUUCCGCAGUGGACGAAAGUCUGACGGAGCAACGCCGCGUGAGUGAUGAAGGCUUUCGGGUCGUAAAACUCUGUUGUUAGGGAAGAACAAGUGCUAGUUGAAUAAGCUGGCACCUUGACGGUACCUAACCAGAAAGCCACGGCUAACUACGUGCCAGCCGCCGCCGUAA